UGGGGAAUAUUGGACAAUGGGCGCAAGCCUGAUCCAGCCAUGCCGCGUGAGUGAUGAAGGCCUUAGGGUUGUAAAGCUCUUUCAGUGGGGACGAUAAUGACGGUACCCACAGAAGAAGCCCCGGCUAACUUUCGUGC
rnacentral:rRNA from 1 species